GUCUGUGCCCAGGAUCCGAACCCGCGAACCCCAGGCCACUGAAGCAGAGCAAGCGAACUUAACUACUAUGCCACUGGGCCAGCCCCAUUGAAUGCCCAUUUUGAAGAUCAAAGUCCUUUGGGAUAAAGCAUAAAGCGGAGGCAUCAUGGUGGGAAGAUACUUCUCCUGGAUGCUAUGGAAAAUUAAUGAGGCGAAAUGGUAAACUCAUUAAGGCGAACCUAUGAAGAGUCUCUUAAGGAUAAAAAUGUAAAUUUUAUUGUUUUCCAGUUGCUAGUUUUACAGAAAAUCCACACAAGUUUUUACAGUCAGAACUAUCCCCAGGGAAAUGGUGGCCCUUGAGAAAUCACAUGGUGUGCACUUUUUCCUCUACUCCGGCAUCUUCGUGCAACUGAAAGGAUGUUCAGCUGAACAGUGAUGACUCUGGAAAAGGAAGAGAAAUCACAGAUGGGCCAAAUGAAGCUGAGGAGGUCUGGAAGGGAGGAAAAGGCAAUACAGACAGAGGCUACUGCCUGAGGGAAGAGCACCGUGUGAAAGGCUUGUUUGGGGAAUGCUGCCCAAUGAGGGCUCUGCUGGUUGUGAAGCAGAUGGCAGGGGUGGCUGGAGGUAAGUCUAGGAUGGCAUUCCUUCAUUCAGUAAUCAUUUGGAAAGUGCCUACUAUGUCUCAGGCCCUGUGCUAAAUGCUGCUGAUAUAAUGUUGAGCAGAAUCAGAUGUGUUCUUUAUUCUUAUGGGGUCUGCAGCUAAAGAAAAAACCAGGGUCAGAUUGAGGAGGUUCUUGACUGUCAUUCGCAUUUAGGGUUUCUCUAUAGACCUGAAAGCAUCUCAAGUCAGAAAGAUUUAUCUUUUGUCUCCUGCAACCUGCACUACUGCCACCCAUGAGUUUAAGUUAUUUCUUUUUCUACAUUGUGUUUAUUACUAUUUGGCCCUAUCUCUCUAAUGCUAAGGAAUAAUGUAUUUUUUUAAUUUAUUUUUUACUCCUUUCCACUCUUUAUUGUGAGUAAUAGUGAAGACAGGAAUGUGUUACUGAGGAAAUCUUUGCCAGAAGCUCACUUGUAGUUUGGUUGAUUGGAAUUCAAAGCCUAUUACCCACUUUUAAACUUUGCUAGCCAGCCCCUAGGAACAUAUUUAGCGCACAUGUACCUGCAAUAAAUACUGUAGAAUAUAACUACCACAUGGGAGAAUGUUUCUAUGGGAAAACUCACUCAAGAAAUUCUGAGAAAAUGAAAUUUGUGACUUAGGAGCAGGCCUUUCCUGGUGUAAUGAGAGAGGGGACUCUCCUUUUGAUCAUUUUCCACAACGUGUCAGGCCUGCUCUCUAGAGUGCAGAGCAGGAGGUAAGAUUAACUCUGAAGUUUGGAUGUAGGAGGAGUGAAGGACGGAAGGGGGUACAUAAGGCAGAGGAGGAGGGGCAGAACAGGCUUGGUGGCGGUGGGGAGUACAGUGGGAGACUUUGGACAACCAGAAGACAGUGGGGACUUGAAGCAUGACAGAAGUACGGAUCAAGAAAUUGGGAAGAGAGGUAGAAACUAGAAGGACGUGGGACAACUUGGUCUUAUUUCCCACCCCGGCAGUACUAAUAUUCUGCCCUGCUACUGAAAGCCCUCUUGGAACCACAGCAACUGGGUAACAGGAGCGUAAAAGGACAUAGGAAUAACAGUCUGCAGGCUGGUGGCAAGCCCCAGUUCUCCCAUUUACCAGUUUUCUGGCCUUGGGUAAGUUACUUCAUUUCUCUGAGCUCUGGCUCCCUUAUCUAAAAAUUGGGUGACACUAGUGGUCCCAGACUUAUACAGUUAUUUUAAGGAAUAAAUGAGGCUGUCUUUGUGGAAUAUAGAAUGUAAGCACCAGGAAAGUAGAGAAUUUGUCCUGUUCACUGCUGAAUUCUCAGAGCUUCAAGUAGUUCCUGGCACUCUGCAGGAGCUAAAUAAAUAUAUAUAUAUAAAAUUAUUGAGUAGAUAGGAAGAGAUUUGUAAGUGGAGUGGCAUUUUAAAAUGCCUAAUCUAUGGGCUGUUUGCCACUGAUUAAGCCCCUCUAAUGGUUACAAGAAGUGAAGAUUCUAGAAGAGUGAAGUUGUCUGAAUUCCAGUCCCAACUCUGGCCCUCACCAUCUCUGCAACCAUGGGAAAAUUCGGCCUCAGUUUCUUCUUCCAUGAAAUUUGGGUUAUUAUAGUGUCCACUUCCUGGAGUGUUGUGAAGACCAGAUGAGAUAAUGCAAAGCAUUUUGUGCCUAGCACAC